UGGGGAAUUUUGGACAAUGGGCGAAAGCCUGAUCCAGCCAUGCCGCGUGAGUGAUGAAGGCCUUAGGGUUGUAAAGCUCUUUCGCCAGGGACGAUAAUGACGGUACCUGGAUAAGAAGCCCCGGCUAACUUCGUGCCAGCAGCCGCGGUAAUACGAAGGGGGCUAGCGUUGUUCGGAAUUACUGGGCGUAAAGCGCAUGUAGGCGGAUCGCUAAGUCAGGGGUGAAAUCCCGAGGCUCAACCUCGGAACUGCCUUUGAUACUGGCGAUCUUGAGUCCGGGAGAGGUGAGUGGAAUUCCGAGUGUAGAGGUGAAAUUCGUAGAUAUUCGGAAGAACACCAGUGGCGAAGGCGACUCACUGGACACAUAUUGACGCUGAGGUGCGAAAGCGUGGGGAGCAAAC
rnacentral:rRNA from 1 species